rnacentral:tRNA from 2 species
GCGCCCGUAGCUCAGUCGGUAGAGCAACAGCCUUUUAAGCUGAUGGUCGUGGGUUCGAUUCCCGCCGGGCGCACUA